rnacentral:other from 1 species
GUUUAAAUAAAUCAGUAGAUUAUUGCUUUAUCGCAAUAUCAGCACCGAAUACCCUAAUUGCUGUGUGUAGUCUUUGCCUAUCUCCUAUGAUGGGCUUUUUUUUGU